CUCCAUCUUCUGUGAGGAGGUCGAGGCAGAGCAGGAUCAUAUCAGGGUUUGUAUCCAGAGGAGCGCCGCGAGCCCCCGCAGUGCCCCCAAGUCUUUCUCAGUUUCUCCCUCAUUUGCUCGGCUUUUGAUUAUGAAUUAAAAGGGAUUGCAAAUGG